AUGCACUUUAGCAAGGUGAUUCUUCUAUUGAUGAGUUCUAUUCAUAGUGCUCUGCCAUCUGGCGCCAGCUUGACUCUCUUCGGACAGUUUUUUGUGGAACCUGUCGUUGCUGUCAGACUACUCGGUCUGAUCUGGAGUUUCAGCGGGUUCAUGAGUUCUUAUCUCGUCUCCGGUCUGCGUUUGAGCCUCGACGUGCUCACUUGCUUGCUCGUGGUCGUGUUCCUAUUUUGGAGGUACUUGCCGAGCUUCGUGCUCAGGAGACUCGCCUUCACUCUGCUGGGUUGCUUCUGGUUCCGUCAGUGCUGGCCGUCCGAGCUCCUGUGUCGUCUGCUCGCCUCACCGCUCCACCGCUUCUGCCUACUCCUUCAGGGGGGGGGUCAGCCGUCCUCCUUAUGCUGA
rnacentral:rRNA from 1 species